rnacentral:tRNA from 1 species
AGGCGGGUCGCUCAGCGGUAGAGCGCUGGUCUUACACACCAGUGGUCAUCGGUUCGAUCCCGAUCCCGCCUA